UUGAAUCUUUUAUUUUCAUUAUGGAUAAACACAAACAUCCAAAGUUGUAGAAAAUAUUAUAUCUUCUGAGUUCAUCAUCUGCUACCUUUUCUUUAAAAUUCUAUUUUUUAUUUUGUCUUGCCAGUUGUUUACUUUAGGGAAGUGAUGAAGGGCUGCUGCAAUUUGCCACUCCGCCACCUCACCCCAUGGGGUCUUGUUAUGUUGUUGCCUAAGCUGGUCAUCAACACCUGGAUUCAAGCAAUCCUCCUUACUUGCCUUCUCAAGUAUCUGGGACUACUUGCCCACCACACCCAGCUGCUAUUUGCCACUUUCUAGUUGAAAUGUUCUAUACACCAAAAAAUCUUUGUGGGGUCAGGGAUAUAGCUCAGUGGCACAGCGCCUGCCUGGCAGGUGCAAGGUCCUGAGUUUGACUCCCGAUACAAAAAAAACAAACUUUGUGAUUGCUUUGAGGUCUUUCUUUGGGAAGCAGUCACUGAAAACAUUUGCUUCUUGGACUGAACAACAAGUAAGGCCAAUUUAGGUCAUUUAUAUUUCACUAUCUCCCACUCAUUUUUUAAACAUCUAUUAUAAUGAAGAUAAAAGGCGAACAACAGUAGCUAUAACAUGAUUUUAAAAAGAUACCUGGGAUCUAGGUGAAGGUAUCCCUCAAGAUUCUCCACUCUUUGCCUUAGCCUUAACCUUAGCCUUAAGCUUGUAGUGUUGAAAGGAUGUGGACUAUUACCAAAUAUAAAACUCUGCUUCACAGAUGAUGAAACACAGACCUAUGUGGUUACAUAGUCAAAUUAUGUGAAUUCAAGUUAUUAGCAAUCCAAAACUUGAAGCUUCCUGACUUGCAAACCAACAUUCCCUUCCCUACACCAUGCUCAUACCAUGAAAAUAGAUAAGACACUUUCUCCUAUACAGUGGCUUAACGUGAGCCUUGGGGAUCUGGGAACUUUUUUUAAUGCUCCUACAAGCAAAUGAAUUCCAAGUGUGCCUCAUGAUUCAGAAUACAUUUUUCAGCCUCCUACUCAUCUUCUGAGUACCAUGGUAAGCACAGGAUCUCGACAGGAAUGAAUGAAGACUUAUUUUAUAUUCUUUAUAACUUCCUUGGAAAUAAACAUUAUUUAUUAAACCAAAGCAAAUAUUUAUACAGGCAGAUUCUUCAAUAUUGAAGAUUGAUGGUGUAAGAUGAAUCUUUUAGAAUUAUCCAAAUUAUCCACUUGCUUUUCUCAGAAAUAAAUUUGUUAAUAAUGUGUCCUCCACCAAGCUGCUGUAAAAACAUACACUAUUCUGUGAGGGAGGUGCAGAGAAAAGCAACUCACUUCCUGGAGCAUGUGACAGAGAGAUCUAAAAAUCCUAGCUAUUGAAGUGAUAUUAAACAGACUACAGGCUUUUUUUAAAAUAACAAACCAAAGAAAAGGAAGGGAGGUAACUCAGCUUAACAUGUAAAAAUAUUCAAUAAAAUCAUCUCCAUAAUCUCACUUUGUGUCAUAAUGGCUAAGCACAAAAGCUUAUUCACAUUAUUAAGUAUGUCAAGUUAAAUAAUUUGAUCACAACAUCAACCUCUUUGUAGUCUCUCAGUCUUCACACUUUGUUGCUUAUAUGGUUGGGUUAUCUCCCCCUGCAUUUCAAUAUACAGUGACAGAACAAUUUGGCCUAGGAAUUAGAAGCCACUGUACCUUCUGUGGUUAAGGAAAAAUGUAAUUGCAGUGAAUAUGACCAACUGCCUCACUUGCUAUUGAGCCACCUUGUAAAAAAUUACAAAGAAAAGUGGCAGCAGAACUGUGUCCCAAAGCAUCAUAGAGAAGACUUUAUAACAUUCUCUUUAGAUACCUGCUUAUAGUUUAGUUUCUGAUCCUCACUAUACUGAAUUCCAGUUUUUAUUAUAUCAUAUAUUCCAGUAUUCCUAUAAAAUGUGUACAAAUGUGGUUAGUAUGUGGAAGCUGAGUAAAUUUAUGUGACAAUGGGUGGUAGCUUUUAUAGAGAAUAAAACAGUUUUCCUAACCAUUAGAAACAUUCUUUGAUAACAUAAUCCUAGAUUCUUUCCUUUUUUUCUUUUCAUCUAGAUUCUUUCCUUUUCUUCUUUUAUGCACAAUCAGCCAGCUUGGAUGUUCAACAGAUAUCUACAGAGGACAUAAGUCUUGAUAUUUUUAACUUGCUGCUCUCCAUCAGUUCCACCCCUGACCCAAGUGCAUCACAAUCAUGACACGCAAGUUUCUCCUGUACAUUAAAAUCACCAGUGGAGCAGCCAAGCAUGGUGGUGAUACCUGUAAUCCCAGAUUCUUGGAUUAGGAAAAGGAAAAUUGCAAGUCUGAGGUGACCCUGGACAUCUUGGACAACCCCAUCUUUAAAAAACUGAAUAUAUUGAGAACUCACAGCAGCUGGGAAUGGGAAGUCUCCUCCACCAUCUAUAACCCACCUGCACUGGGCUAAUUGUUUAAGGGCUAAUAAAGUCCAACCCUGAAUUCA